UAUCAUUCACCCUCUAAUUCACUUUAUACCAUCUUAGGUAAUUCCAUAUAUCAUUCUGUUUCUUUGCAAAAUUUUACCCUUUCAUGAUUUUCAUACUUAACCAUUUUAAAAGCCAAACAUUAUCACAUACUCACACAUCUUUCUUUAGCAAUAUCAUAGAUACAAACAUUCAAAAUGACUAAUCCCUAUACAUCACUUAGGUAUAUACAUUACUUAGGUAUAUACAUUACUUAGGUACAUGCCACAUUAUCAAAAGAAAGUACAUCACUAACAUUUCUCUGAGGUUGGGAUUACUUUGGAUGCUGGAUCGAACACUGGUUUUCUACAAUCCUGCGCACAGAAACAACCGUACACUGAGUAUGGGUAUACUCAAUGGUAUUACCAUAAUUCAAAUUCAUAACAUUAAUCGAUAAAUUAUAUACAUUUAAUUUAUGUUUACAAUUAUUCGUUAAUUGUCUCAUACUUUAAAUCAACUUGAUCAUUAAUAACAAUAAGCAAUAUUUCAAUCUUAUCUUUAAUUAUAUUCAUACCUUGUUUCACUAUCUAAAUUUUAUUGGAUUUUUUCACAUCCCAUUCCAAUUCAUACAAAUUCAAUCAAUUUAUCAACUCAUUCAUUACCCAUUCUAUUUAUAUUCAAUAUGUACUUUAAAUCUUUUAACACUCAAUUUAUUCAUUAAAUCCAUAACUAAAUUUCAAUAACUUGUAUUCAAUUAAAUUCACAUAUUAUUUCACUCUUUCAAAUUAUUUUAUUUUCACUUCUCAUUUCUUAACAAAAGCUAUUUCAAUUCAUAUUCAAGAUCAUUCAAUAAAAAUUUAUAUUAUCAAAAUUAUUCAUUUACCCCUAUUAACUUGACUUGGACCUUGGCGGAUACACGGAUCCAACCAAACACACCAAUACGGCACAUUGUGCCUAAAACGGUACAUAGUACCUGAUCAGUAUACGACACAUAAGUGCCUGAAACGACACACGAGGUGCCUGAUACGACACAUAAAGUGCCUGAGAUACGACACAUAAAGUGCCUGGUCGGCAAAGCCGAUAAAUCCCGUACUCUUCCAAAUCCUAUGGCAUGUCAACUAUAUCCGACUCAGCCCGACUAGUUAAUAGGGUUUCCGAAUCACAUUUCAAUUCAAUCACUUUCUCAUACUUUCAAUUCAAAUCAUUCCAAUUUAAUCACAAUUUGAUUCAAUACAUUUUUCUAUUUCAAAUUCACUUUCGAUUCAAUCACAAUUUAAUUCACUUUUAUUCCAUUCAUAUAUAUAUAUAUUAUUCAUUUUCCAAUAUUCAUCUUAUUUUUAUUUACUAAACAUAUUAUUCAAAAUUCAACAAUUACUAUCAAUAAAUUCAAUAUCAAUAAGUAUAUAUAUAUUUCAUUCGAUUCAAUCAUGAUACUCACCUCAAUUUUCUUAUCAUGUAUAUUAAUUUAAAUUUUAACAAUUAGUAAUUAAAUUCGAAUUAUGGUAAUACUAACCGAAAUUUCUCUCGAGUCACUCCUUGUCCACUUUCUCCUUUCCUUUCUCGGACAAUGACUCGUACACGACAUUAGCUACGUAAUUAAACAAUUAAAAAUCAUUAAUACACAAUUUCAUUAAAAUAUUUCCUUUUAUACCUAAACUUUACCCAAAUUCUAAUUUAAUUCCUUAUCAAUACUAAUUUUAUUUUUCCCAAUCUAACUCUAUAUUCUCUCUUAAUUCUUACUAUAAACUCAAUUUAAUUCUUCAAUUUCCCCAUAAAUCCCUAAUUUCGGGAUUCUUUCAAUUUAGUCCCUAUCAAUUCAAAACUUAUGUUUUAUUUUUCAAAUCAACCUUUUACUAACUUUUAACUUAAAAUUCAAUCAUUUUAACCUCUAAUUCAUCAAUUAAUUCAACAUGAACAACAUCUAAAAAUUUACUAACUUCCAAAAUUUCAACUUAAAUCAAAUAGUAUUUUGUUCUAGGAUUCCAAAAAUAUCAAAACUAUAAGAAAAAGGGACUAAAUUGACUUACCAAUUGAAUUUAGAAGUUUUGAAACCCCUGAACCGUCGCUCUU
rnacentral:lncRNA from 1 species